rnacentral:rRNA from 1 species
ACGCACGCUGGCGGCGUGCUUAACACAUGCAAGUCGAACGGAAAGGCCCUGCUUUUGUGGGGUGCUCGAGUGGCGAACGGGUGAGUAACACGUGAGUAACCUGCCCUUGACUUUGGGAUAACUUCAGGAAACUGGGGCUAAUACCGGAUAGGAGCUCCUGCUGCAUGGUGGGGGUUGGAAAGUUUCGGCGGUUGGGGAUGGACUCGCGGCUUAUCAGCUUGUUGGUGGGGUAGUGGCUUACCAAGGCUUUGACGGGUAGCCGGCCUGAGAGGGUGACCGGCCACAUGGGGACUGAGAUACGGCCCAGACUCCUACGGGAGGCAGCAGUGGGGAAUAUUGCACAAUGGGCGGAAGCCUGAUGCAGCAACGCCGCGUGCGGGAUGACGGCCUUCGGGUGGUAAACCGCUUUCGCCUGUGACGAAGCGUGAGUGACGGUAAUGGGUAAAGAAGCACCGGCUAACUACGU